rnacentral:rRNA from 1 species
GUGAGGAAUAUUGCGCAAUGGAGGCAACUCUGACGCAGCCAUGCCGCGUGCAGGAAGAAGGCGCUACGCGUUGUAAACUGCUUUUAACCGGGAAGAAACCCCAGGACGUGUCCUGGGUUGACGGUACCGGAGGAAUAAGCACCGGCUAACUUCGUGCCAGCAGCCGCGGUAAUACGAAGGGUGCAAGCGUUAUCCGGAUUCAUUGCGUUUAAAGGGUGCGUAGGCGGAGCGUUAAGUCAGUGGUGAAAUCCUGCAGCUUAACUGUAGACUUGCCAUUGAUACUGGCGCUCUUGAGUGCGCUUGAAGUGGGCGGAAUGUGCCGUGUAGCGGUGAAAUGCUUAGAUAUGGCACAGAACACCAAUUGCGAAGGCAGCUCACUAAGGCGAUACUGACGCUGAGGCACGAAAGCGUGGGGAUCGAACAGGAUUAGAAACCCCGGUAGUCC